UACGGGGGGGGCAAGCGUUGUUCGGAAUUACUGGGCGUAAAGGGCUCGUAGGCGGCCAACUAAGGCGGACGUGAAAUCCCCAGGCUCAACCUGGGAACUGCGUCCGAUACUGGAUGGCUUGAAUCCGGGAGAGGGAUGCAGAAUUCCAGGUGUAGCGGUGAAAUGCGCAGAUAUCAGGAGGAACACCGGUGGCGAAGGCGGAUCUCUGGGCCUGUCCUGACGCUCAGGCGCGAAAGCUAGGGGAGCAAACAGG
rnacentral:rRNA from 1 species